CUGCUGCCUCCCGUAGGAGUCUGGGCCGUGUCUCAGUCCCAGUGUGGCCGUCCGCCCUCUCAGGCCGGCUACGCAUCGUCGCCUUGGUAGGCCGUUGCCCCACCAACUAGCUAAUGCGUGAUAAGUCCCUCCUUUGCCUGUCCCUUCCAGGACAUUUAACUGGAUUCUCAUGCGAUCUCCCAGCCUAUGCGGUUUUAGCGUCCGUUUCCGGUCGUUAUCCCCCUGCCUAGGGCAGGUUACUUAUCUUUUACUCACCCGUUCG
rnacentral:rRNA from 1 species